UACGUAGGGGGCAAGCGUUGUCCGGAUUUAUUGGGCGUAAAGCGCGUGUAGGUGGCCAAGUAGGUCCGCUGUGAAAACUUGAGGCUCAACCUCAAGCUGUCGGUGGAAACCACUUGGCUAGAGUCCGGAAGAGGAGAGUGGAAUUCCUGGUGUAGCGGUGAAAUGCGCAGAUAUCAGGAAGAACACCAAUGGCGAAGGCAGCUCUCUGGGACGGUACUGACACUGAGACGCGAAAGCGUGGGGAGCGAACAGG
rnacentral:rRNA from 1 species